rnacentral:rRNA from 1 species
AGCUGGGUUUAGAACGUCGUGAGACAGUUCGGUCCCUAUCUGCCGUGGGCGCUGGAGAACUGAGGGGGGCUGCUCCUAGUACGAGAGGACCGGAGUGGACGCAUCACUGGGGUUCGGGUUGUCAUGCCAAUGGCACUGCCCGGUAGCUAAAUGCGGAAGAGAUAAGUGCUGAAAGCAUCUAAGCACGAAACUUGCCCCGAGAUGAGUUCUCCCUGACCCUU